GGGGUUGGGUUAGGGGACUGGGUUAGGGUACUGGGGUAGGCGGACUGGGUUAGGGUUGCGGACUGGGUUAGAGGACUGGGUUAAGGUUAGGGGACUGGGAUCGUUGCAGUCACCUGUGUGAAUAUUUUUGUGAUAACAAGAGGAUAUUGUAAAAAAUGAAGUAAUAUAACUAAUCAGAAUAUUAAGUUAUAUGUGUACAGUACCUUUCAAAUUAGAAUUUUGAAUGACUGAGCCUAAGGAUUUACUAUCAUUUUAAUUGAUCUGAAUGUAGCCUAACUAGCUAGCUGUGCAUUCUGACCUGUGGCUGCGUACACUGGGCCCUAUUCACGGAACAAAAUGGUUUAUUAAUGUAGAAUCAACUGGAGCUACCUACCAUCUUGCACUGGUUUUAACUUGUUUUAACUCAAAGAUCGGAAUCUCACAAUGGCCCACAUUUUCAUGAUUGCGCAAA